UGGGGAAUAUUGCACAAUGGGCGCAAGCCUGAUGCAGCGACGCCGCGUGAGGGAUGACGGCCUUCGGGUUGUAAACCUCUUUCAGCAGGGACGAAGCGCAAGUGACGGUACCUGCAGAAGAAGCACCGGCCAACUACGUGCCAGCAGCCGCGGUAAUACGUAGGGUGCGAGCGUUGUCCGGAAUUACUGGGCGUAAAGAGCUCGUAGGCGGUUUGUCGCGUCGUCUGUGAAAUUCUGCAGCUUAACUGCAGGCGUGCAGGCGAUACGGGCAGACUUGAGUACUACAGGGGAGACUGGAAUUCCUGGUGUAGCGGUGAAAUGCGCAGAUAUCAGGAGGAACACCGGUGGCGAAGGCGGGUCUCUGGGUAGUAACUGACGCUGAGGAGCGAAAGCGUGGGUAGCGAACAGGAUUAGAUACCCUGGUAGUCCACGCCGUAAACGGUGGGUACUAGGUGUGGGUUCCAUUUCACGGGAUCCGUGCCGUAGCUAACGCAUUAAGUACCCCGCCUGGGGAGUACGGCCGCAAGGCUAAAACUCAAAUGAAUUGACGGGGU
rnacentral:rRNA from 1 species